GCGGCGCGCCCCGCGCGCGCCUCGGCGACUCCCCUCCCGCGGGCAGAGGAAGCGCCCCCGCCUCGCCUCCUUCUGCUCCGGGCCCUCCCACAUUCCUGGGACUGGGGACCCGGGACGCGGCUCCGCUGCUCCGCGCCGCGAGCCCGCACGGCGUCCCAGCCUCGGUCCCCCUCCCGGGCCCCGGGUUUGGGUCACCACAUGCUGACCGAUAUCCCUACCGAGGGCGCAAGCCAGGCCUACGUUUAGGGAGCAACCCGGUGAAGGCCUGGUUGAGGUGGGCUUGGGGUUCUUGAACCCCUGAACUGUAGGACACAGUGCUGUGUGCUGUGUUCUCCGCGCCCCGCCCGGGAGCCGGAGAGCCGGCAUUGGAGCGGGGCCUGUGAUUGCGACCCCGGCUCUUCUGGCAUAUGCACCUCCGGCUCUGCUGGUGCUGCUUAGCUGUGUGGCCUGGGGACGGGCACUUCACCCCUCUGGGCCUUCUUUCCUCAUCGGUGACAUAAACCUGGGAACACUAGCAUCCGGCUAGAGAGACGUGAUUGGUGAUUGCAGGAAGCAAUGAAGAGGAAAGUCCUAAAGACGAGCAGCUUUCAGCACGUUCUCGAAGGAGCCCACGACUCGACCCGGGUUAAAGACUGCUGCAGAGGCUGCUGCUGCGCCCGCGCCCAGGGAGAAAACUGAGGACCUGGGAGGCGAAGCCAGUUGCCCAAGAAAGGUUACAGAGAUGGUUUAAGCAAAAGGGGAGCUCUAUGAGGAGACCACUGGGGCGUCUGGCAGACCCCUAAGCAGGAACUCGCAGGGCCUCCCCCAGGCCUGGCUGCAAGAACUGGAAAGCCACCAAGAGCCCAGGCCAGCUGUCUCUGCACAUCGGCCUCCUGCUUCUCCCCGGCAGGCCGCCCUCCUCUGCAUCUCUGCAAGUUUCCCAGUCUCCUCGCCUGUUUCACGUUCUGACAGUGUGACUCCUAGUCCAUUUCAAAUCCCAGUCCCAGAGGAUUCUGAUCGGCCCAGCUUGGAUCCCGUGCCCACCCCUGGUCCAGUCCUCUUACUUAUUACUGACAUUUAACAGUCCUUAUUCAUUUGUGUCA